rnacentral:lncRNA from 1 species
CCAUAUGCAAUGUGUGGAUCCUGAUACAAAGUUAUUUCUUUAAUUAAUGAGACUACAAGGAAAUUUGUCAAUGGCCAUUGCACAGUGUAUGUUUUAAGCUGUAACAGGUUAUGCUUUUUAAUUGAAAGUCAGUUCACUUUUAGAUAAACUUACAAAAAUAUUUACAGAUGAAAUUGCACAAUGCCUGGAAUUUGCUUCUGAUAAUCCAGUGAUGGGGGAGAGCAAGAAAUGGGCUGAUGGAGAGUGAGAGUUUUUAAAACAAAAACCAUCUACUUACCUCUGGUAAUGCUUGACCUUAUUGUACUAGGUUAGAAUUUGAAAAACAAAAAACCCGGCUUAAUAUUCAGCUUGAAUAUAGUCGCAGUCUGCUCAAGAAGAAACUGAGUAAGAUCAACACGUUAAAAGAAACUAUCCAGAAAGGUGGCGAAGACAUUGACAGCCUGAAGAAGAUUGAAUACAACUGUCUGCAAGUCGUGGAUGAACUCAUGGCAAAGCAGAAGCAACUUAAGGACAUAUUUGUCACUCAGAAUUCCAGCGCUCAGAAAGUUCAAUCUCAGCUUGAGGAGGAACGGAAGAAAUUUUUGGCUGUUGAUAGGUAAUUAAAAAUUCUUCAUUUUGAAAGUCCUAGCCAGCAUUUUAAACAUGUGCUUUUCGAUUUGAAAUGUAGUAUAUGAAGUUGUGUUUGAAUAUGUACACUUCAUUGCUCCUGGUCCCACAUAACACUUUUCACAUAUUCUAAUACGGGGAGAAACCAAAAGGGGCAGCUAGUCAGUUAGAGUGCAUGUUCCUUCUGGUGAUGAAAAUAGAAACGUAUAAGAGAGGCCCUUACCUAAGAGCCUUGACACUGGUGUGUUCCCCUCGUCCAGAGUCACCUAUCAUUGAACCACAGCACAGAACGUAACGGGGAGGAGAAUCAAACCACACUGCCUGGCAGUGCAUCCCAGCUCUGCUCCUUAUACACUGCACCUUCACUUCCUCAUCAGUAAAGUGGGGAUAACAAAGUACCUACUUUGUAGAAUAGUCAUA